CAGGGAACCUGAUGUGGGGCUCCAUCCCAGGACCCUAGGAUCAUGACCUGAGGCAAAGUCAGAGGCUUAACCAACCGAGCCACCCAGGUGCCCCAGGAGAGAGUGUCUUAAGCAGACUCUGCACUGUGUGUGGAGCCCAGCAUGGGGCUCAGUUAACAAGUCUGAGACCACAACCUGAGCCAAAACCAAGAGUCAGACCCUUAAUCAACUGCACCACCAAGGUGUCCCUAUUAUUUUUGUCUUUUAAACAUCAUGCCUGUUAAAUAAGUGACUGAUCCACUACAUUCACUAUGUAUCUACUUUUUCCAGGGAUUUUUACUUUUGCAUAUUAUCUUUGUUAUUAAGUGCCAUUUCUUUUCAGUUUAAAGAAGUCCCUUUAACAUUUCUUUUAAGACCAGUUUAGUGGUGGUGAACUCCUUUAGCUUUUGCUAAUGUCCUUAAGGUUUAUCCAUGUUGUAGCAUGUAUCGGAAUUUCUUUUUCUUUUUUUUAAAGAUUUUAUUUAUUCAUUCAACAGAGAGAGAGAGACAGCCAGUGAGAGAAGGAACACAAGCAGGGGGAGUGGGAGAGGAAGAAGCAGGCUCCCAGCAGAAGAGCCUGACGUGGGGCUCGAUCCUGGAACGCCAGGAUCACGUCCUGAGCCGAAGGCAGAUGCUUAACGACUGAGCCACCCAGGCGCCCAGAGAAUUUCUUUUCUUUUUAAGGCAGAAUAAGAUUCUAUUUUCCUUGUCCAUUCAUCUGUCAGUGGACACUUUGGUUUACUUCCACCUUUUGGCUAUUGUGAAUUAAUGCUGCCAUGAAAAUGGGUGUACAAUAUCAUGGGUGUAUUUUUAAAAAUGUACUUAAAAACAUUAUUCUGAGAAGUCAUCUAUGGUCUUUGCUAAACUUCCAAAGGAGUCUAUGGCACAUAAGAAUCCCAGUGAGUGGUCUGGCUGGGAUUUGAACUCAGGCCAGCUGUCUCUAGAGCCUGUGUUUCUUUCAUACUCAUAAAGUCAUGUCACCUCAGUAGACCAUAUUUUUCUACAUCAGGACAGGUUCUGCAUCAAGGUUUAUGGAAAAGGGGGAAGAAAACAUUUUCUAGAUGUGCAUGUGCUCCUGUUUCUACAAUUAUUGUUUUAGGUCUUCUCAUCCCCCCGCCCAUGCUUCUCAACACCACAUGCUUCACACUUGUGAAUCCUGUCCAGUGGACACAGAUCUAUGUUGAAGGGGAAGCUAGUUUGAAGUUCCAGCCUCAACUCCACUCUGUUAUGAGCACCAACUGGAGAGAAUCACAUAAUAAACUUUACAAACAGUCCUUUCCUGUGAUAUUUCCUAAGCAUUUCUCCCUUAUCCAAUGAAUUCGUCAGGACUGGUGGGGAGUCUUGUAGACAGAUAGUGGAGCUGGGAAGGAGAAUGAGUUUAAUGCCUACACUUCCUGCCCUAUUCAACUGUCUCUUACAAACCAGAUGUGGCUGGUGCAGGUAGUAUAGUGGGGAAACGUCCAGAGGGAGAAAUGGAUACAGUAUGUGCAUUUCCCAGUCUCUUAGUCCCUGAUCCAACUCCAUAGUCUGUGAUUUUGGGGUCCUCGAAAACUUCCAAGCUAUUGCAUCUUUCCAUUUAUUAUUUCUGUGGGAAACGAACAGGACCAAAGUUUUAGGACACACGGGAGGGAUGUGGCUGCUGGUUUCUAUGGGAGGGGUUUGCGGUGAGGGUACAAUGUGGUUGGAAGGGGGUUUCUGAAAGUUACUUUUUUACCUGAUUUUACCUUAUAGGUGAACAACUCGUGUCUAAAUAGGCGGUUAGUGGAGGAUAAAUCCUAAGUAACAGGGCCAAGUACUGAUAAUACGGAAGUCCCAGAGUCCUGAUAAUACAUAACAGACUAAA
ensembl:lncRNA